rnacentral:rRNA from 1 species
CCUACGGGUGGCAGCAGUGGGGAAUAUUGCACAAUGGGGGGAACCCUGAUGCAGCGACGCCGCGUGAGUGAAGAAGUAUUUCGGUAUGUAAAGCUCUAUCAGCAGGGAAGAAAAUGACGGUACCUGACUCAGAAGCCCCGGCCAACUACGUGCCAGCAGCCGCGGGAAUUCGUAGGGGGCAAGCGUUAUCCGGAGUUACUGGGUGUAAAGGGAGCGCAGACGGCUGUGCAAGUCUGGAGUGAAAGGCGGGGGCCCAACCCCCGGACUGCUCUGGAAACUGUAAAGCUGGAGUGCAGGAGAGGUAAGCGGAAUUCCUAGUGUAGCGGUGAAAUGCGUAGAUAUUAGGAGGAACCCCAGUGGCGAAGGCGGCUUACUGGACUGCAACUGACGUUGAGGCUCGAAAGCGUGGGGAGCAAACAGGAUUAGAUACCCGUGUAGUC